CUAUGCGCCUUCUUUACACUUUCUCCACCGUUGAAGAGUGCUGGAGGUUCUGAAGCGGUUGCUAUGCUGGUAUUCUUUUUGUGGAAGAAACAACAAAUCAGCUCUCGACUUCCAUUUGAUGUUGGAUAUGAGGUCUAAAACACAGGUGGAGUCAAUUUUAUUGUUACUAUGUUUUUGAUUAUUUGCUUGGGUAUGUUGCCACCCUGGCCCUUUUGUUUAAAUGACUCUUAGGGUUUCCGUGUACCUUCGCUUACAAACAGAGCCCUCGCCGCAUCGCGACGGGUUUCUUUUCUAGUUUUAUUAUAUUAUAUAUACUAAGUUAGAAAUC